UAUUCUGCCCUACGGGGAAGGAUGAGAAGCUUCGACCAAGGUUCGACUCGAGCGUAGCGAGAGAACGUUGCCGCAGGCAACGGCCCGAAGGGCGAGGAGCGAUAGCGACGAGUUAUCCUUCCCCCACCACCA
rnacentral:sRNA from 3 species